GAGGGGGCGCCGCUGUCGCCGCAGCAGCGCCGCGCUGCGGACGGCGCAGUCGAGGCUGCGAUCGUCCGCUUUGCCGUGCUGCCCGGUUCUCGACAGAGUGCGGCGCCGCGCUACGGUUCCGCGGCCGCUUUGCUGCCCGGAGGUGAAGCGAGGGAAUUCAGCGGUCGGUUCGUCCCGAACUCGAGGCCAGAGACCCAGAACAGGCUGCUCAAAUCAGCGGAGUCAUCGCGACGCGCGAAGCUACGCUGGAAGCGGCCAAUUGGAGAGGCGUCCCCGAUGGCCAGCAACCUGGCACCAGGGCUGAAAGAACCCUAACGGCCAUGCUUCGGUGACGUUCCCCGUGCGAGCACUUCCGCCUACUUCCUCCCCAGCCUCCCGGAUCCCCGUCCCGGCCCUUCCGGCCCUUCCGGCCCUUCCGGCCCUUCCGGCCCUUCCGGCCCUCCCGGCCCCCUCGUAGCCCAGCGUAGCCGGAGCGUCGUGGGCCAGCGACUCGAAGACCCGCGCGUUCGGGAGGUCCACAUCGGGUAGCACUCUACGCACACCAUCCAGGCGAUGGCGGCUUCGGCGCUGAAAAAGCUGUUCCGCACCGACCGGCACCGGCUGAGUACGUCCGGUAACAGCCACAACAGCCACAACGAUCUCGGUCCCAAAAAGAAGAAGGAGAGCGGCGAGGGCGGGAGCCGAGCCCGGCUGCUGGGUCUCUGCGCGGGUGCGGGGAAGGCAGGCCACGCGGCUCAGGGCCAGGGAGGCCAGGGCAGUGCGGCGGCCGAGACGGCGGGCUCCGCCGAGGCGCCGACGGCCAAGGCGACGCCGGGACCCAAGGCGUCCAAGGCGACGGGUUCCUCGAGCGCCGGUGCGUCGUCGCGGGCCCUGACGCUGGCACGCAGUCCCCGGCACCGGGUGGCGCCGUGCUCCCAGCAGGCGGCCGUGCGUGCCCGCCGGCUCAUGCGCGAGUUCCACGAGAUCCGGCGCCAGCAGGGCCGCGGCCAGGCGCCCUCUUUCACCGUGGACCUGGUCGACGACAACCUGUACGAGUGGCACGUGCGCCUCUACCAGGUGGAUCCGGAAAGCCCGCUGUGGCGAGACAUGCAGGACUGCGGCGUGUCCUGCGUCCAGCUUAGCGUCUCGUUCCCGGACAACUUCCCGUUCGCGCCGCCGUUCGUGCGCGUGCUGGCACCGCACAUUGAGCGCGGCUUCGUCAUGGAAGGCGGCGCCAUCUGCAUGGAGCUGCUGACGCCGCGAGGCUGGGCGUCCGCCUACACUGUCGAGGCCAUCCUGGUCCAGGUGGCUGCGUCGCUUUCUAAGGGCCAGGCUCGCAUCGCCACAAAGCCAGGGAAGCAGUUCAACCGGAAGUUGGCCGAGUCCUCUUUCCGGAGCCUGGUCAAGACUCACGACAAGUACGGCUGGGUGACGCCUCCCCUGGCCGACGGCUAGGCUCUCCCGCACGAGCGUGCCGGUGGGCGGUUGCCAUACGAGGAACUGCGCUGGACGCUGGCCGACGGUGAACAGUGAGGAUUAAUGGGUGCUAGUCAGGACAUUUCCAGCAAGCUGCUUCUGUUUUUCUUGCAUUUACGUGAUCGUGUAUGACUCAUUCAUUGCGACUCAAGCCCCAUCAUUCACCGAGCAACAUCGUCGCGGUGUGUCCCCCUCAAGCGCGUUGCGUCUUCCUUGGCGGUGACUUUGCUCUAGGUGCUAUUUUUCUCUUUGACAACGCGGCUUCAUGUUUGCGGGUCUGUAUGUAUGUGCGUCUCGGAAGGAAAGAAAAAAAAAAAAAAAACCUCCACGGUUUCACGAAGGAUAGUGUGUCGAUUGUUUCUUGUUAAGUCUGCUUCUAAAAUGUCCAGACAGGAUUCGGGAAUUCUACGCGGGGUUUGAGGAUAUUUCUGAAAGGACGUGAUUCCGAUUGUUGUGUUACGUAUUUACGCGGGAACCAAGCGGCAAGUCGAUCUACGCAUUACCGCGAAGACGAAAGAGGGGAUCACGUACAUUACCGCCAGGUGGUCGGCUGUUGCUUUACUGCUGAAUUUUAUUUGUCGGUAUUUCGUAAACGGUAAUGCGUGUUUUCACGGCAGUUUCUAGUUAAUAACAAAUUUAGAAAAAGAAAAAUUGUUAGAACUUAAUGCGUUAGUAUAAUACAGGUUAAUGCAUCACGUCAACUCCACAUUUUAUGAGCUCGCCAUACUCGCCAUGUGAGUAUGGCGAGUAUGUUCGUUGAAUCUCCCGAAGGCUCUUUCUAAAAUAUGACACGUGUAAAUAUUUUCUUUUUUUCUUUUUGGCGAGACGACAAGGAGGUCGAACUUUCGGGAACGAGUUUCGUGGUCACGAGCUGAUCACGGACGUUACCGUUUGAGGGGAAGCAACCGCGGCUUACAGCAUGCUUCGCUCAUCUCCAUUCACAACUGUAACCGGAAUUUUUCGCUUUAAGUAUACCGACAUAACCCGCGUUUUUUUUUUUUUUCUUGAAGUUUUUUUAUAUCACGGUGACUCGGGACCGUAAAGAGGAUGCGGCAAAAUUUACCGCGACUCAUUUCUCUUCACAUUUGCGGUCACGCAGUUAGUGAUAUAUUGCGAAUCCGCCGCCAAGUCCUGCUCCUUUUCCCUCUCCAUAUCGUACCACGUGUAAUUAUUCUGCAGCGAUUCUAAACCUGCCCAUAACACUUCUUUAAAAAAUAAAAACUUACUGAGGCAUUGUAGAAGUGUCAUGCUCCCGUCGUUAGCUCCGUUUGAGGCAGCUAUCCCACGGACCUUUUCCUGCCUAGAUCUUUACAGUAACGUCCAGUAAUGUAUACUACAUGAGAAUGACGGUACAGAAUGAUCCACGUUUGCUCAACGCCAAGUAUUCGAGCCUCGGCUGUUUUCCGACGCGAAUGCCUCUUGUUUCUUUCCUCCACUCCUCUCUCAAGUUCGUGCGGGCAAACGAAUUUUAUCCCAUCUGAACUUGGGCGCCGCCCGCGUCUGUGGUUGACGAAUCACUACUGCUCACGCCAGCGAAGCGAAAGAGACACCCACCCCGUUGAAAUGACAAGCUUGUCGUGCCACUGUGUUCCUCCCCUCCCGACCGAAUCCCCGCCUGGCAUUCCCCGUUCGGGAAGGCGAGCACGUGGCCCUUUGCUGCGCGUUCGCGGCCAAUGCCGUCCUUUUGUGAAUACAGACGAUUGUUUCGCGAAAUGAUCUUUCAUCGAAUGAAUCCCUGCUCUGUACAUACAUAAAAGACGAGUUGCGUGUGCCGCGCACUUGCGGUGUUCAUUAAUGUGCGUCCGUGUGUCUCUCGAAUGUUCGGAUAAUAAAGAUUAUUCGUUACUUAA
rnacentral:misc_RNA from 1 species